GUCUAUGGCCAUACCACCCUGAACAUGCCUGAUUUCGUCUGAUCUCAGAAGCUAAGCAGGGUUGGGCCUAGUUAGUACUUGGAUUGGAGAAAAUUACAUUGAGGUCCAAGAGCAAUAUGAU
ensembl:rRNA 5S_rRNA 5S ribosomal RNA